GGGGGUGCAGCUCAGCGGUACAGCACCUGCUUAGCACGCACGAGGUUCUGGGUUCCAUCCCAGUGCCUCCA
rnacentral:tRNA from 1 species